rnacentral:lncRNA from 1 species
GUCGGACCGUCGUACAGUAGAUACAAAUUCAAUUUUAAUUACUAUCAGACGUAGAUUCUAUAUUUAUAUGUUGAAAUCGGAAGAAAAAGAAGAAGAAGAAAUCGGACAAAUAUUAAUUGCACUAUGCGCGUUUAAAGAGACUGCAAUUUUCGAGAUGCAGCGAGUCAAGUCUUUACGCUCACGUUUCAACUGAUAAUUUACAGGUUGAAGAUGUUCAGUGAGCGCACUGACCGUGUCAACGGCUAGCUGAGCUUUCUCAACUUUGGGUUUACCCGGAGCCUGUUCAACUGUACGAUUGAAAGGUACAACCUCGUGAAGUUGACCAGUCAACGCUGAUGACGCACGUGGUGACAGCUUCGCCAACAGCGUUCCUGGCUUUGCACAUAGUGACGUCACCGACACGGACGAACGAAUGGGAGGAUAAAACCGGACUGACUGGUGGCGUUCUCCGAACGAGAAGUACACCACAUCGAAAGCUCUGAUCGGACGACGACUAUCGGGGAACUUGAACAAAAAAAAGAAAAUUAUUCUUCCUAUUCGCGAUAGUUGUACGC